rnacentral:sRNA from 1 species
UAGGUUUGUGGACAUCAUAAUGAGCCUC